CGAGAUCAGGGAACUGGUUAGUGAGAGCCUGUUGCAUCCCUGGCAUCGCCAUCAUUGCAGACAAUUGACCUGUCGACUUCACUUCACAGUCCUGUGGAGUGUUGUUGAUUUUGGUUGGAUCAUACCCGAAAUCCCCCAGGUACGCCUUGUACUUGUCUAUGAAUGCCUCGCCUGGAUCAGGCGUCCUCGAGUAUAUCUUUAAAGUCCCAAUAAACCCAAUAAAUAUAUUAGUCAAAUUGAAUAGAACAUACUACUAGCUACUAGUGGUGCUGUUAUGAAUCUUUUACCUGGACAAAGCUUUUGUCUUUGGCACCAGAAACAAGAGCAAAGUUGUCAUAAUCAGUGGCGAUGACAUCAUAAGGCUCCUUGGGGAUGAAAGGAAGUGUUGGGAAACGAAGGUAGCAUUUCUCUCUGAUCAUCUCCAGUUUCUCAAGAUCGGUCUCGUUUUUCUCCAGAUCUUGGUCUGCUACGCACUGUACUCUCCCUCUUAUACCUGUAAUGUACCCAUCAGGGCCUCCAUGUACACAGAAUGUGUCCACUUGAAUGGCUGGCGUUUCCAUAUCAAAAGUGUAAACACCCUGUCACUCACUCAUUACAUAUGCAUUGCAAUGUUAACUCCAAAGAAUUCACUUUGGUAAUGAAAGAAAAAUACCAUUACAUUACUA
rnacentral:lncRNA from 1 species